rnacentral:rRNA from 1 species
UCGCUGUGAAGAUGCAGUGUACCCGCGGCAAGACGGAAAGACCCCGUGAACCUUUACUAUAGCUUGACACUGAACAUUGAGCCUUGAUGUGUAGGAUAGGUGGGAGGCUUUGAAGUGUGGACGCCAGUCUGCAUGGAGCCGACCUUGAAAUACCACCCUUUAAUGUUUGAUGUUCUAACGUUGGCCCGUAAUCCGGGUUGCGGACAGUGUCUGGUGGGUAGUUUGACUGGGGCGGUCUCCUCCUAAAGAGUAACGGAGGAGCACGAAGGUUGGCUAAUCCUGGUCGGACAUCAGGAGGUUAGUGCAAUGGCAUAAGCCAGCUUGACUGCGAGCGUGACGGCGCGAGCAGGUGCGAAAGCAGGUCAUAGUGAUCCGGUGGUUCUGAAUGGAAGGGCCAUCGCUCAACGGAUAAAAGGUACUCCGGGGAUAACAGGCUGAUACCGCCCAAGAGUUCAUAUCGACGGCGGUGUUUGGCACCUCGAUGUCGGCUCAUCACAUCCUGGGGCUGAAGUAGGUCCCAAGGGUAUGGCUGUUCGCCAUUUAAAGUGGUACGCGAGCUGGGUUUAGAACGUCGUGAGACAGUUCGGUCCCUAUCUGCCGUGGGCGCUGGAGAACUGAGGGGGGCUGCUCCUAGUACGAGAGGACCGGAGUGGACGCAUCACUGGUGUUCGGGUUGUCAUGCCAAUGGCACUGCCCGGUAGCUAAAUGCGGAAGAGAUAAGUGCUGAAAGCAUCUAAGCACGAAACUUGCCCCGAGAUG